AGUUGCAAAUUUGAGUCGAAAAAUAUUCACAAUAUAAAAAUGUCUUAUCACAAUUUUGCACAGUUCCCCCUUUUCAGCAUUUACGCGAAAAUCCGUCAGAUGUCAGCCACUUAGUGUGAAUUCGCGAAUAAUCAUUUAUUUGUGGAUAGAAGUCAAUUUUGAAUUCAUGAAUUUUUUCAACCUUCAUGUUCCAAAAAACUUUCAAUUUUUAUUUCUUUAUUCGUUUACGUUUUUGAAGAUUGAAAAAAUUCAUAAAUUCAAAAUUGGACCGACGCUCAUCAAUAAAUCAACAGUGAACGAAAUAGUCGAGUAAUAGGAAUUCAUUAUUCGAAGUAAAGAUACUUAACCUACUAUAAUGACAAAGUUCAUCGCUCUACUCGAAUUUCAAUUAGCGUUAAUUCGCUAAUUUGCAGUUCCUAACAUAAAGUUAUUGGUACCUCUAAUAACGAAAGAGCCUUAGUUAUCACAAGUGGAGGAGCUAUAAAGGUAAUUGUGGGACUGUCGCUGCCAUUAGAAUUACCUAUCAGCGUAAAUUUCAUACAAAAUAUACAAUAUCAAUAUCCUAUGAUUGACAAUGCUACUCAACUUUCCUACAUGAAUUUAUUAAGCAUCGGUUCCAACGGCACCGCUUGUAUCCUUCAAAUGAUAUGCGGUAUCGGGAAAUAUUCUUUGUCUCAUGAUGGAAUUCUGGGCGAAGUUAUCGAUACAGUUUUUACACCUCACAAAAGUUCAGAAGAAAAGUAC